UAUUGCUUUGCAUUAGGAAAAGAUGGGUGGGUACAUAAAGGAGAGCUUAGAUCUCUCUCCAGUUCAUUUCCCCCAGUCAUUCUAAGGAAGGAAAGGCAGAGCAGUUGCCGGAGCUUCCUCUGGCUGGUACUUCCCAGUUUUUAGUGGCCCUCCCUUCUCCACCAAGUUGUAUGUGUGAGAACAGAAAACACAAUAAAUCUGGAACCAGCUCCUCUAUUUAGUCCUUGGCAGGCCCAGGGCACAGUAGAAACCUAGGCCAAAAUGCCAGUUUAGAAAACAAACAAACAGCAUUUCAAAGAAUGUAGAAUAUGGUUUUCUUUAUCCCCUUGCUAACUGCAGGAGAAAAGGCUGGAGCAACUCUAGGUAUGUCAUUAUUUCACUGAUAGCUGCUCCGCCACCCCAGCAAAAUGUUGAGGCUUGCAACCAGCUACAGGGAGCCUGUUUCAAAUGUUCGGAUUUGUGACUUUUAUUUUUUGAAAUAAUAAAUGUAUUAACCACAUGCAAGAAAACUAAAUGAGAACACACUAAGCACCAACAAUGUCAGCUAGUCUGCCAUUUCUUGGAAAAAAGGCGUAGGAAGGCAUUAUUAAACAACAGCAGCUGUCUGAAAAGGGUUUCACAUGUGGGCGCUGUAAUGUUGUGCCAACGAGCUCAGCACUGAUGCUCAUUUGUUACAACUACAGAUGCAAUGGAACUAAGGCAUUAUUAGGCCAGGGUUUGGAACACAGUGGCCCUCCAGCUGAUGUCUGAUUCCAGCUCUCAUUAGCCCCAGCCAACGAUCAUGCAUGAAGGGAGUUGCAGUUGGGAGUCAAAGGUUAGCCACCCAUUAUGUAAAGCUGUGUCUUGUUCUAAAUGGGCACCACAGCCAUUUCAAGUUGAGGGUUCUCUCCCCUCUCUAACCUGGAAUAGGGUCACUUUGCUCCUGUAAGUAACCGGCUUUUGGUAGUGCUAGCUCUCCCUUCAGAAAAUGCUACUGAAAUCAUCCUAUGUAGGGGAGAAAGUUUCCAGUGCCAGGCACAAGGCAGUGGGCAUCUGCUUGAAUCACUGAAUCAUAGAGGUGGAAGUGACCUUGAGGGUCAUCUAGGAAUUUGCAGCUGGAUCAAACCUGCAGCCUUAGCGUUAUCAGCACCAUGCUCUAACCAACUUAGUUAUCCAGCUGAGACAGGAGACAUCAGUAGGACCACUUUUAAGAGGGGAGGGGUGCACAUCAGCUGGACACCCAGUUCUGCUGUGUACUUGUAUCAGUAGUGAUGUCAAGGCCACAGCAAUCAUCCAGUCCCCCAGCGGGAUGAAUCCACUCCCAAGAGUAGUGGUAUCAACACUUUCGGUGCGAGUGAAGGAGCAUCCUCUGUCACUCUUAGGUUCUUUGUUCCGUUGUCACUUUGAGCACAGGGAUAGCAAUCCUUUGGGAAACCCUGCAGAGGUUGUUGACUCUAACUCCCACCAUCCCUAGUUAACACAGCCAAUAGUUGGGGGUGCACAGCCUCUUUCAUAGAAACAUACCAAUGUUACCUUUCUCCCCCUCCCAUCCCCUAUCUUCAUGCACUUUAGAACACCUGGGGGGGGGCAACCUUAAUAAGUUUUUGCAGCAAGUUGUCAACGUCACAUCCUUCCCCACUUUCAUUAUUUUUUUUUAAUGUGACGGACUCAGCAGAGGCUGUGGAGAGGAGGUCUGUAUGCCGUCUCUGGCAUCUACAGCUGGCUCUUUGUCUCUCUCGCAAGGCACUUUGGAAUUUGAGGGACAAGAGGGAGCUCCUCAUGCAAACCUAGUAAGUGGGAGAGCUUGACUUUCUUAUUUUAGCUAUCUGCACUCAAAACUUUAAAUCCGGAUUUUGUGGAGAAAACUGGGCAUGUUGGUGAACAAAAUUAGUUUUGGAAAACACCCCAGUCAAACAGAACCAACAUGGUUUGGCAUGUCUAAGGAGGGAUAAUUCAUGGAUCAUCUUACAGUUUUGCAGGGCAUUUGGAUUUCCCCCCUCUUUUUGAGCCUGAUUUAUGCCCGUUUCCCCACAGCUAUACAGACCUAUAUGAGACUAGUUUGUGGUGGGCUGUGCUUUAGAAAUCAAGUAUGGCAACCACAUGCACUGGGGAAGAGAUAUUGUUUUACACUGGGGGAAAGGUAAAACCAUGCACUUUAUUAGUAAGGAACUUCUUCCUUCCUAAAACGUUGCACGAGGUGGGAAGGUCGCUGCCUGGUGUUGAUUCAUUGCAUGCACUGUUCAGGGGAGGAAGAAACGGUAUGCCAAAAUGCAUGUUCCAUUUUAUUGUGAAGUUUGAACCAGUUCUCCCCAUCCCCUGACAAGAGAAAGAGGGGCCAAGAUCUGGCACCUUCCCUUCAGUGUUUCUGCAGUGCCUUACUUAGGCAAUUGCCUAGGUCAGCUCUGCAUUGGGGACUUUAGAAUUAGUUGCCACCCACCUUCAAGCUUGUUUUCUUUCUCCCCAUCCCAAAACAGAUAUAUUUUUAAAGAAACUGAUGCUAUCCAAUGGUUUACCUCUGUGUUAUGGGAGAGAAGAGUUUGGAAUUGGAUAGAGUUAAUUAGCCUGGAGAAUCCAAGGGGACAGUUCUACUGGUUAACAGUUCCAUAUUAGAUAUAAUGGGCCCAUGGACUCUUCGCUGGUGUUUAUUUACAACUCUGGCUCAAGAGUUUCCCAUGGCGCCUCGAAAUACAAAUGUGAGAAGGCUAUAGCCUCAUUUUGAUGUAUAAAGAGGAUUUGUUAACGCAAUUACAGGCUUCAGAAAACACAGGCACAUUUCUGAAGCCUUGCACUUUUAAAUGCAUUUUGUACAUAGAUAUAAAUAUAUAUAAGCUAACGGCUGGUUGAUCUGGCCAGGUUUGGUUUGACAGAUACAGAUUCUUCUAACAUACGUUGUCUAUAUCGUGGCAUAUUAACUAUGUGUAAAAAAAAACCACACGAGAAGAAAGGACAGAAAUGAAAAGAUUUUUAAAAAGCAGCAAAAGCCUUAGAAUUGAAUAUUUAGUUUAUUUUAUAUGAUGUCAAAGAUAGAUACAUUUAUAAAUGUUCCUAUUCAUAAAAGUAUUUUGUAAAAUGGGCAGGGAGGGGGUGAGGAAGUGUCUUAUGGGGGCAUUUAAGAAUUCUAGCCGGGAAUACUCACGCUGUUGUGAAGGUCCAUUGGCCAAGAAUCAACAUGUCUCCCAUGUGCUUUAACAGAUUUGUACAUAGUAUUUUGAAAGAAAAAUAAAAAUGUACUUUUAUGAACUCUU